rnacentral:rRNA from 1 species
AAAAAUAGUAAUGUUUAUGGUGGAUACCUAAGUACUCAAAGACGAUGAAGGGCGUGAUUAACUGCGAAAAGCUUUGAUGAAUUGUAAAUAAGUAUUUAAUUCAAAGAUUCCCGAAUAGAAAAAUCUAUAAAACUCUCUUUUAAAUUCAUAGAAAGAGCAGAGAUAACUUAGUGAAUUGAAACAUCUUAGUAACUAAAGGAAAAGAAAGCAAAUGCGAUUUCCCGAGUAGUGGCGAACGAAAUGGAAAUAGUCUAAACUAAUCUUCAGAUUAGGGUUGGGGGACUAAUGCAACAAUAUUUAAUUAUAUUUAUAGAAACAGCUGAAACCUGUACCAUAGAUGGUGAAAGUCCAGUAUAUAAUCAAUAAUGAAUAUCAAUGAAGUCCCAAGUAGCUUGAGACACGUGUAAUCUCUUGUGAAUCAACGAGGACCACCUCGUAAGACUAAAUACUCUUGAGUAACUGAUAGUGAAGAAGUACCGUGAGGGAAAGGUGAAAAAGAACCCCUACAGGGGAGUGAAAUAGAAUUUGAAACCUUAAACAAACAAACAGUGGGAGAAUUAUUCAUUUGACCGCGUGCCUGUUGAAGAAUGAGCCGGCGACUUAUAUAAAAUGGCAAGGUUAAGAUAGAAAUUGAAGCCGUAGUGAAAACGAGUCUGAAAAGGGCGUUUGAGUCAUUUUAUAUAGACCCGAAGCCGAGUGAUCUAACCAUGACCAGGAGGAAACUUGGUUAAACCCAAGUGAAAGUCCGAACUGACCAAUGCUGAAAAAUUGCCAGAUGAGUUGUGGUUAGGGGUGAAAUGCCAAUCGAACUCGGAGCUAGCUGGUUCUCCUCGAAAUGCGUUGAGGCGCAGCAUUUAAACACGAACUUAGGGGUAAAGCACUGUUUCGGUGCGGGCUAUGAGAGUGGUACCAAAUCGUUGCAAACUAAGAAUACUAAAGUUCAAAAUUUAAAUAGUGAGACUAUGGGGGAUAAGCUUCAUUGUCAAAAGGGAAACAGCCCAGAUCAUCAGCUAAGGCCCCUAAAUAAUUACUAAGUGUUAAAGGAGGUGUAAAUGCAUAAACAACCAAUAGGUUUGCCUAGAAGCAGCCAUCCUUUAAAGAAUGCGUAACAGCUCACUGGUCAAGCGUUUAUGCACCAAAAAUGAAAUUGGGACUUAAGUAGUUUGCCGAAGCUAUGAGCUUGUAUAAGCAAGCGGUAGAGGAGCGUUCUGCAUUAGGGUGAAGUGAAAAUGUUAAUUUUUGUGGACGAAGCAGAAGUGAGAAUGUCGGCUUGAGUAACGUAAACAUUGGUGUGAAUCCAAUGCCCCGUAAAUCUAAGGAUUCCUUUACCAGGUUCGUCCUUAAAGGGUUAGUCAGGUUCUAAAAUGAGAUCGAAAGGUGUAAUUGAUGAUAAACAGGUUAAUAUUCCUGUACUUAUUUUUUCUAACAAUAACGAGGGACGAAGUAGGCUAUAACAGCAAUAUAUUGGAUAAUUGCGUAAAUAAUAAGGUAUAUUUAGGAAUAAAAACCUAAAUGAAGCUAAAUUAUGAUACAAUUGGGUUUAUCCUAGUUUUGUUUGAAGUCACACUUCCAAGAAAAUCUUGUAUUAUUUUGAAGAAAUAACCUGUACCGUAAACCGACACAGGUGGAUGGGUAGAAUAUACUAAGGGGCGCGAGAUAACCCUCUCUAAGGAACUCGGCAAAAUAACUCCGUAACUUCGGGAGAAGGGGUACCCUAUAUAUAGGGUGACAGUAAAUGGACCCAGGCGACUGUUUACCAAAAACACAGGUCUCCGCAAAAUCGAAAGAUAACGUAUGGGGGCUGACGCCUGCCCAGUGCCGGAAGGUUAAAGAAGUAGGUUAUUCUUAAGAAAAAGCUUACAACAUAAGCCCCGGUGAACGGCGGCCGUAACUCUGACGGUCCUAAGGUAGCGAAAUUCCUUGUCACGUAAGUUGUGACCCGCACGAAAGGCGUAACGAUCUGGGUACUGUCUCAGAGAGGGUCUCGGUGAAAUAGACAUGUCCGUGAAGAUGCGGACUUCUUGUACCUGGACAGAAAGACCCUAUGAAGCUUUACUGUAUCUUGAAAUUGAAUUUAAGUUUAUUUUGCGCAGUCUAAGUGGGAGGCUAUGAGAGUGUUUUUUCGGAAAUAUUAGAGCCAUCAGUGAGAGACCACUCUUUGUACACUAAAAUUCUAAUAAUGAGUUCUUGAAUCAGAACAUUUGACAGUUUCAGGUGGGCAGUUUUUUUGGGGCGAAAACCUCCUAAAAAGUAACGGAGGUGUACAAAGGUUCCCUCAGACUGGACGGAAAUCAGUUGUAGAAUGUAAAGGUAAAAGGGAGCUUAACUGUAAGACUGACACGUCGAACAGAGGCGAAAGCCGGUCUUAGUGAUCCGACGAUGCUGAGUGGAAGGGUCGUCGCUCAACGGAUAAAAGUUACUCUAGGGAUAACAGGCUAAUCUUCCUCAAGAGUUCAUAUCGACGGGAAGGUUUGGCACCUCGAUGUCGGCUCAUCGCAACCUGGGGCGGUAGUUUGUCCCAAGGGUUGGGCUGUUCGCCCAUUAAAGCGGUACGUGAGCUGGGUUCAGAACGUCGUGAGACAGUUUGGUCCAUAUCCGGUAUAAGCGUAAGAAUAUUGAAAAGAGCUUUCUAUAAUACGAGAGGACUUGGAAAGAUGAACCAAGGGUGUACCAGUUCUUAUGCCCAUAGGAAACGCUGGGUAGCUACGUUCAGAGGGAUAACUGCUGAAAGCAUAUAAGUAGGAAGCCUACUUUGAGAUGAGUAUUCUUUAUGAGAUCGCGGGAAGACUACCUGCUUGAGAGGAAUUAAGUGUAAGACUAGUAAUAGUUUCAGCUAAAAUUUACUAAUGAUCCAAAUUUUUGAUUAAU